rnacentral:lncRNA from 1 species
AGCGGCUUUGGCUAUUGUGAUUGUCACAGACCAGAUGCUUCUGAAGGUCUGUCGAGGCACCCUUGCCCCUUGCUGGCUCAGAGCCACCUUUCCAGCUGUUGUUCUUAGGGCUCCUGCACUGGUACAUGGCUGUAUCCAAGCUUUGGGGUAGUGGGGCUCCUUUGAGUACAUCAGCUGAGAAGCCCUCGUUUCUGAUACUCUGCUCUCUGGCUUUUCUGAACAGCAAACUUGCCUUACCAGAUUUCCUCUCCCAGGACUGGGAUUUGGGGGAAGUGGGCAAGGCAGGACAGGGCAGGAGCAGUUUGUUAGCCCAGCUAGACUGAAAGACUCUGAGGGGCUGUGCCUGAUGCUGGUUAUGUGUCUCUACAGAUAUGACUCCUACGAGGCCUGUGACUCAAGGGCCAUCCUGAGUGAGCGCGACCUGUACCGGUCAGGCUAUGACUAUGGCGAGCUUGACCCCGAGAUGGAAAUGGCCUACGAGGGCCAGUAUGAUGCUUACCGUGACCAGUUACGAAUGCGUGGCAGCGAUACCUUCGGUCCAAGGGCUCAGGGCUGGGCCCGGGAUGCCCGGAGUGGACGGCCAUUGGCCUCAGGCUAUGGGCGCAUGUGGGAAGAUCCCAUGGGGGCCCGGGGCCAGUGCAUGCCUGGUGUCUCCCGGCUGCCCUCCCUCUUCUCCCAGAACAUCAUCCCCGAGUAUGGCAUGUUCCAGGGCAUGCGUGGCGGGGGUACCUUUCCGGGUGGCUCACGCUUUGGCUUUGGAUUUGGCAAUGGCAUAAAGCAGAUGAGGCGGACCUGGAAGACUUGGACCACUGCUGACUUCCGGACCAAAAAGAAGAAGAGAAAGCAAGGCGGCAGUCCUGAUGAGCCAGACAGCAAGGCUACCCGAACGGACUGCUCAGACAACAGUGACUCAGACAAUGGUGAGCUGGGUGGUAUGGGGGCCUUGCCCCUGCCCCUGCCCCUCCUCCUUCCCCUUU